rnacentral:rRNA from 1 species
CGAAGAGUCGAGUUGUUUGGGAAUGCAGCUCUAAGUGGGUGGUAAAUUCCAUCUAAAGCUAAAUAUUGGCGAGAGACCGAUAGCGAACAAGUACAGUGAUGGAAAGAUGAAAAGAACUUUGAAAAGAGAGUGAAAAAGUACGUGAAAUUGUUGAAAGGGAAGGGCUUGAGAUCAGACUUGGUAUUUUGUAUGUUACUCUCUCGGGGGUGGCCUCUACAGUUUACCGGGCCAGCAUCAGUUUGGGCGGUAGGACAAUUGCAAAGAAAUGUGGCACUGCCUCGGUAGUGUGUUAUAGUCUUUGUCGAUACUGCCAGCCUAGACUGAGGACUGCGGCUUCGGCCUAGGAUGUUGGCAUAAUGAUCUUAAGUCGCCCGUCUUGAAACACGGACCAAGGAGUCUAACGUCUAUGCGAGUGUUUGGGUGUAAAACCCGUACGCGUAAUGAAAGUGAACGUAGGUAGGACCUCCUUUAGGAGUGCACUAUCGACCGAUCCUGAUGUCUUCGGAUGGAUUUGAGUAAGAGCAUAGCUGUUGGGACCCGAAAGAUGGUGAACUAUGCCUGAAUAGGGUGAAGCCAGAGGAAACUCUGGUGGAGGCUCGUAGCGGUUCUGACG